AAGGGUGCGUAGGCGGAAUAAUAAGUCAGUGGUGAAAUCUUGCGGCUCAACCGUAAAAUUGCCAUUGAUACUGUUAUUCUUGAGUAUGGUUGAGGUAGGCGGAAUGAGUAAUGUAGCGGUGAAAUGCUUAGAUAUUACUCAGAACACCGAUUGCGUAGGCAGCUUACCAAGCCAUCACUGACGCUGAGGCACGAAAGCGUGGGUAGCAAACAGGAUUAGAUACCCUGGUAGUCCACGCCGUAAACGUUGAUUACUCGUUGUUGGCAAUACACCGUCAGCGACUGAGCAAAAGCAUUAAGUAAUCCACCUGGGGAGUACGUCAGCAAUGAUGAAACUCAAAGGAAUUGACGGGGGCCCGCACAAGCGGAGGAACAUGUGGUUUAAUUCGAUGAUACGCGAGGAACCUUACCUGGGCUUAAAUGUUUAGUGAUCGACCGGGAGACCGGUUUUUCCUUCGGGACACUUUACAAGGUGCUGCAUGGUUGUCGUCAGCUCGUGCCGUGAGGUGUCGGGUUAAGUCCCAUAACGAGCGCAACCCCUAUCGCCAGUUGCCAGCACAUAAUGGUGGGAACUCUGGUGAAACUGCCGGUGCAAACCGUGAGGAAGGUGGGGAUGACGUCAAAUCAGCACGGCCCUUAUGUCCAGGGCUACACACGUGUUACAAUGGUCGGUACAACAGGAUGCCAAUCCGCAAGGAUGAGCUAAUCCCAAAAGCCGAUCUUAGUUCGGAUCGGAGUCUGCAAUUCGACUCCGUGAAGUUGGAUUCGCUAGUAAUCGCAGAUCAGCCAUGCUGCGGUGAUACGUUCCCGGGCAUUGUACACACCGCCCGUCAAGCCAUGGAAGCCGGGGGUGCCUGAAGUCCGUAACCGUAAG
rnacentral:rRNA from 1 species